UUAUUUACUUUAUAAAAGUGUUACAUUCAAUAACUAUUGGAGUGUUAAAAAAAGGUAUUACAAUGCACAGGGUGAGUGGAUGUGAAGGGUUGAGCCACAAUAAAGUGCGCUCUGUUCUUCAUUAAUGAUCCUUCCGCAGGUUCACCUACGGAAA
rnacentral:misc_RNA from 1 species